rnacentral:lncRNA from 1 species
AUAGGCACAUUCCAAUGAGCAAACCCCAGGAAUCCACCUGUUCUCAUCUUGCCAACAAUGCUCCUUCCACGGAAACUGACCCUGUCCUAUUUCCUCGCUUUGAUCAUUGCCCAGAAGGAACAGGGACUGUUGAGAAACAGAGGCAGCGUGCAGCCUGAAGGCAUGCACCGUGCAGAAGAGGAUCCCUGCGGCUGCGGGCUCUUUUCCAGGCCCAAGGACAAGGCGGUGUGUGCCGGGUUGAUCUGCACUGCUUUAGCCAGGAUGGCUCUUCUUAGAGAGACAAACCGCUCCAACGCCAAACUGCCCUCGCAAUUCCAAUCGCAAAGGCAGGCUAGGGCCACAGUUCAAACCCAACUGCCAAUGUCCACAAAGAAAAGAAGAAAGCUGGAAAUGCAGUUGGUCUUGCCAUGCUGGCCGCUCAGCUUCUCACCCCCAGGCCUAAGAAGGACAAGGUGAGGAUGAGUUCCAUUUACAGAGUCCUCACCAGGUGCCAGUCACGAUCUCAAUGUCUCACAGCUGCCAUCCCGCCAGGCUCCCAGGAGGAAGGUGCUGCUAUUUAUUAUCCACAGGACAGACCCCACAGCUGGCAAGUGGCUGGGCCAGGAACCAGCUAGGGCAGGUUUGUCCCAUACUCUCUACCCAUGAGCACGAGGCUGUGCUGUUCAUGUCUCCAUUCAAACACAGGCUGAUAUUUCCACUCCAGGGGAAAAAAGGUAGAAAAAAA